AGAGUUUGAUCCUGGCUCAGAUUGAACGCUGGCGGCAUGCCUAACACAUGCAAAUCGAACGGGUUGUACUUCGGUACAGCUAGUGGCGGACGGGUGAGUAACACAUAGGAAUCUGCCCGAGAGUGGGGGAUAACCCAGGGAAACUUGGAUUAAUACCGCAUGAUCUCUAUGGAGCAAGGCUGGGGACCUUCGGGCCUGGCGCUUUUGGAGGAGCCUAUGUCUGAUUAGCUUGUUGGUGAGGUAACGGCUCACCAAGGCGACGAUCAGUAACUGGUCUGAGAGGACGACCAGUCACACCGGAACUGAGACACGGUCCGGACUCCUACGGGAGGCAGCAGUGGGGAAUAUUGGACAAUGGGCGAAAGCCUGAUCCAGCAAUGCCGCGUGUGU
rnacentral:rRNA from 1 species